rnacentral:pre_miRNA from 1 species
AAUUUAGCUGAAAAAGUUAUGAACAUAAAAGUUGUAGAACUCAUCAAGACAUAAUAACUUUUAUUUUGGUUAUUUCUUCAUUCGACAAAGUGAUGGUAACAUUUUUCACAAAAUUUACAUCUAUCUCUUAUAGUUUAUAAAACCAAAUGAGAGAUAUGUAAAUUUUGUGAACAAUGUUACUAUAACUUUGUCGGAUAAAGAAAUGACCAAAAUAAAAGUUAUAGAUCUUGACGAGUUAUACAACUUGGUUGUUGAUGACUUUUUCAGUUGAAAUU